rnacentral:rRNA from 1 species
UACAGAGGUCCCAAGCGUUGUUCGGAUUCAUUGGGCGUAAAGGGUGCGUAGGCGGCGCGGGAAGUCGGGUGUGAAAUCUCGGAGCUUAACUCCGAAACUGCAUUCGAUACUGCCGUGCUUGAGGACUGGAGAGGAGACUGGAAUUUACGGUGUAGCGGUGAAAUUCGUAGAUAUCGAGAGGAACACCGGUGGCGAAGGCGGCCUUCUGGACAGUGACUGACGCUGAGACGCGAAAGCGUGGGGAGCAAACAGG